rnacentral:tmRNA from 1 species
GGGGGCGACCGGUUUCGACGUGGGUUACGAACCUUCAGGGGCGUACCGAGGCUGCAGUCUCCCUCGUAAAUACCUGCUGCAAAUCAUAGUUGCCAACGACGACAACUACGCUCUGGCUGCCUAAACGCAGCUGACCUCUGACCAGCUCGUGCCUGUGCGGCUGAAUCAGGGGACGCGUUCACAGGAUCGCGCGCCGGCGAUGCGAGCAGGCCGGUGCGUUAAGAGUCACUGAUCGCUGGCGUUGCGUCUUCCCUGCUCCUCGGGUAGCGCCGCGCGAGAAUCAAAGAGAGAGCUACGUACGUAGAUCCUGAAGUCUAGGACUUACGGACGGGGGUUCGAUUCCCCCCGCCUCCACGA